CUUCACCGACCCCAGCCACAGCGGCUGACCGGCGGGCCGGUCCUGGCCGUAGGUCGCCAGGACCGCCUGCGCCUC
rnacentral:antisense_RNA from 1 species